rnacentral:lncRNA from 1 species
GCAUUCUUGACUAAUGCCUCGAUUGAAUUCUUGCUUAGAUUUAGUCGAACAUCAAAGUCGGUUUCGUAUGGAGGUCUUAUGGAGGAUGCUUUUGGAAAUUGGGGCAGAAUCUUGAUUCAACUCUGUGUAUUAGUUAAUAACAUCGGCGUGCUUAUAGUUACAUGAUCAUCAUAGGUAUCAUCUUGAUUGAAUUUGAGUUGUGUUUGUAUCUCAUAUGCAUCUCUGUCGAGUAACUAUCAAUUUCUUCAGUUUUAGCUAUGCUUGAUCUCAAUUGAUCGGACACUUAUUGACUUAUUCAUUGCAGGUGAUGUGCUUUCUGGAACCACAUCUGAUGGAAUUCACCACGCCGGUGUUCUGGAGGGUUGGUUUGGAGAACAGUGGUGGACUGGACGGUUUUUCGUUCUCGUUGUAACCACAGUUGCUGUAUUCGCG